rnacentral:rRNA from 1 species
CGAAGGGGGCUAGCGUUGUUCGGAAUUACUGGGCGUAAAGCGCGCGUAGGCGGUUUUGCAAGCCAGAGGUGAAAUGCCUGAGCUCAACUUAGGAAUUGCCUUUGGGACUGCGAGGCUUUGAGGACUGGAGAGGUGAGUGGAAUUCCCAGUGUAGAGGUGAAAUUCGUAGAUAUUGGGAAGAACACCGGUGGCGAAGGCGGCUCACUGGCCAGUUUCUGACGCUGCAGCGCGAAAGCGUGGGGAUCAAACAGGAUUAGAUACCCUGGUAGUCCACGCUGUAAACGAUGAGUGCUAGGCGUCGGCAAGCUUGCUUGUCGGUGCCGCAGCUAACGCGUGAAGCACUCCGCCUGGGGAGUACGGUCGCAAGAUUA